rnacentral:rRNA from 1 species
AGUGAACGCUGGCGGUAGGCCUAACACAUGCAAGUCGAACGGCAGCACAGUAAGAGCUUGCUCUUACGGGUGGCGAGUGGCGGACGGGUGAGGAAUACUUCGGAAUCUACUUUUUCGUGGGGGAUAACGUAGGGAAACUUACGCUAAUACCGCAUACGACCUACGGGUGAAAGCAGGGGAUCUUCGGACCUUGCGCGAUUGAAUGAGCCGAUGUCGGAUUAGCUAGUUGGCGGGGUAAAGGCCCACCAAGGCGACGAUCCGUAGCUGGUCUGAGAGGAUGAUCGGCCACACUGGAACUGAGACACGGUCCAGACUCCUACGGGAGGCAGCAGUGGGGAAUAUUGGACAAUGGGCGCAAGCCUGAUCCAGCCAUACCGCGUGGGUGAAGAAGGCCUUCGGGUUGUAAAGCCCUUUUGUUGGGAAAGAAAAGCAGCAGGUUAAUACCCCGCUGUUCUGACGGUACCCAAAGAAUAAGCACCGGCUAACUUCGUG